UACGUAGGUGGCAAGCGUUGUCCGGAUUUACUGGGCGUAAAGAGCGUGUAGGCGGCCAAACAGGUCCGUUGUGAAAACUGGAGGCUCAACCUCCAGACGUCGACGGAAACCGUAUGGCUAGAGUCCGGAAGAGGAGAGUGGAAUUCCUGGUGUAGCGGUGAAAUGCGCAGAUAUCAGGAAGAACACCAAUGGCGAAGGCAGCUCUCUGGGACGGUACUGACGCUGAGACGCGAAAGCGUGGGGAGCGAACAGG
rnacentral:rRNA from 1 species